rnacentral:rRNA from 1 species
UACGUAGGGUGCAGGCGUUAAUCGGAAUUACUGGGCGUAAAGCGUGCGCAGGCGGUUUCUUAAGUCAGAUGUGAAAGCCCCGGGCUUAACCUGGGAACUGCGUUUGAAACUGGGAGACUUGAGUGUGGCAGAGGGGGGGUGGAAUUCCACGUGUAGCAGUGAAAUGCGUAGAUAUGCGGAGGAACACCGAUGGCGAAGGCAACUCCCCUGGGCCUGCACUGGACGUCCAUGCACGAAA